GACCCAUGUGGAUGAUGAGAGUGAUGUCAGCUGCAGAAACAUCACAGAGACGGCCAGCAUUCACUUGUGAUGUGUAGCUCGGACGCACUCGUCGUAGGAGGGAUGAUUUCGAACUGACCAAAAGCAGAAUAAUGAACUGAAUUACAAAGGGACGCCCUGGUCGGCAGAAGUUGGACGGAAACCACGUUGGAGGUCUGGUGUCCAGCAAGCCAGCAAUGCAGCAGCAGGGCACUGAUGUCUGCCCAUCACAGACGUCUGGCUGCGAGGCCGCCCCCUGCUCCCCAGUGCAAAGGAAGCAGAAUUCAGGCAACGCGGUGAAUGUUUCUCAGGCCUCGCUGAGGGAGAAAGCACCAGUUCAGGAUGCAGGGGACAUGAGUCCAAGCCAAAAAGAGAGAUGGUUUCAAACGAUGAAACUCAACCAAGUUUUGCCACAGUUUACCGCGUCAGGUCACAUUGCAGAUGGAACCAGUGCAUUUGAUAAUGAUUCAGUGAAAUGCCAAUCUUCAGGAGGCCCUCUAGGUGGCUCUAUUACCUCACCUCAAUCCAGAUCCAGUGAAACUACCUUGGACAUCAGUGCCCCCUCAGUGCCUCCAAAUAGAGUAACAUUGCACCCAUCAGGGACGACGGAAGCGUGCCAGCUACAAUCCAAAAUGUCCACAAAAGGCAGCUCCUCCACAGCUACACCCCAUCCGGGUGUUCCCAGGCCGGCUGUACCGUCACCUAAAGCACAACAAAAGCCACAAGUAGGAUGCAAUCAGCCGAAACCUUUAAACGUUGAGGUCACCGCAGGCCUCAAAACCGCGUCGUCCACCCACCUCGCCUCCCUCAAGGCUGGGAGGAGUGGAGCGGCGAACGACGCGAGUCAGGUCGGACUCAAAACGAGUGCCUUGGUAACCGGCGGGAGCGACGACAGUGUUGAUAAGACACGAGUGACCCCGGUGUCAGAGGAGGAAAGAGUAGCCAAGCGUAGGGAGCAGUGGCGGAUAAAAAAGAGGGAACAGAGAGCGAAGCUGGCAGCUAGGUCGACGAAAAGCAGAGAGCGAACACAAUUCACAGGAACAACGCUCCCGAGGCCGGUAACGCAGAAGGCAGGGGUAUCGCACGGUGGAGGUCUCAAACAUCCCCCUCCCCUAUCUUCUGUACAAAGUAUGUGCCCAAAACAAAGCGUGAGUAGCCCCAGGCCUCGAGAGGCACCUGCCAAUCGCUUACUGCAGAACGCUCGAGUGACGCUUGAUUCAUCUUCUGUGCCUCGACUUGUCAAGAAAGAGGAGAAAACGGACGAGGAGUCGGGGCCAGCCAGGUUGAACCCAGUUGGACCUAGUCCGAAUCAGAACACGUUAUUAAUUAAAGUAGAAAACCCGCAGGUCUCUAGGAAAGCACAGCCCGCUUUCACGCCUAACGUCAAGGUGGAACGAAGGAUAGAUUACCCCAGGAAGUUUUCGAACCACGCGUAUUUUUCCAACGUCAACCGGGCGAUCGCCAGAUGCCGAACGCCGCGGCAGAGACUCGUCGAAACGCAGAAGUGUUUCUCCAAUCAACGGAACUUAAGAGUCAAGUUCCCGUCCCUCGCCGCCAUCUACAAUUCGCGGAACGUCCCCAAAAUCCUCCCUAACGAGUCUCCCGAGCAGACGGCCUCCAGACGGAGGGAGUACUGGCGCAUCAAGAAGCGGGAGCAGCGCGCCAAGCAGUCCCUGGAGGUGAAGGCCCAGCUGAAGGAGAAGGACUCCCUGAUGAGGAGAGUCAAACGUUACCAGAAGAUCCUGGAGGAGAUGAGGAGGGCCCGAGCGCAGACCGUCGCCCUGGGGGGCCGGUCGACGGGCGGGAUGCUCACCCACGCCUCGGAGACCAUCGGCGGGUUCAUCAAAGAGGACGGGACGGUGACCGUCAGCCUUCCCCCGGUGCCGACGGACACGGCGGCGGCGGCGGGGCACGAGGCGGAACAGACCUCUUGUCUGCUCUCCGACGAUGGCGUCGUCGCGCACUCGCCGCAUCCGUCUCACGCCGGGCCUCUGGGCCACGGCAGGGACGCCGCGCUCGGGUACUCGGGACGGCUCGGCCACCGCCCGCCCCCGCCGCUGCGUCCGGCUCAGGUCCGAGUCACGCUGCCGCGGGACGGCCAGUCCGCCAACAAGCCUCCGCGCCUGCUGUCCAUCAGGCCCAGGACGCACUUUCAGAGAUCGGCCGCGGCGCACUCCAACCGCUCGGCGGGGCACAACGCCGCUCAGAUCACUCUCACGCACCCUCCGUUUCCCCGGGCCGCCGGGUCCGAGGUGUCAGCGACGGGGGUCAGCGGCGGCGGCGGCGGAGGCUGCGUCAUGAAGAUGGCGGUCUCUUCGCUGUUGGCGCCGCCGUGUGAGGACGCGGGGCUGACCGAGGAGCAACGCAUGGCCAAGAAGAGAGAGUACUGGAGGGUGAAGAAGAGGGAGCAGAGGGCGGCCCGGGCCACUAAGCUGAAGCACGGCUUAUUGCCGGCGUGGGACGCAGCCAUGCAAAGGAGGAAGACCCACAAGCAGACGCCCCUUCAGCGGUCGGCCAUGACGGCCAAUACCGCUACGCAAAUCAGGAAUUCUGCCAAACAGAAAAUGAACGUCCUCCCCUCCUGUAAUGUUAAUGUGCCUAAUCCUCAGCAGGCGAAGCAGAUCAAAGUGGAGAGGGAACCCGUACCGGCCUCUGACCUAAACAUUCGACCUGAACGAGCCAUCUGUCCAAUCAAACAGGCCCCCUCGCCGUCGCCUCCGCUGGCCUUGCCUCAGCCAGAGCCCGAUCCAACCCUGAGUGCCGAAACCCAGGCGACCACUCUUCUCGCCGUGGCCUCCAUGAAAAAGCUGCUGGAAGAAUCCCUCAGCACCGUGACUGAAUGUCAGCCCGCCGCCAUAAAAACAGAGCCGCCGCCUCCUUGUAAAGCCGAGAGAGAGGAGGACGUCUCAGACGAGCACUUGGUGCAGGAGAUGAAAUCGGAGAUCCCGGAGGCCUCCCUAGGAGGAGAAGAAGACGACGACAAGCUGCCGUUGGCUGCCAACCUGACGCUGCAGAUCAAAAGCUGGCAGGCGGACCCUGAUGACUCGGGGCAUGCCUGUCCGCGAGACCCUUACCCUUAUGCCUCAACCCAGACCGGCGAAUCCUCCACCCCGCUGUCCUCCACAACCCCGGACCCCCAGUGCCCCACUGCCUUAGGCGAGGGGGGUCCGACGCAGACGUUGUCUCCCCUACGUCGGGCCAAAAGGCUGUGCACCAAAAAGUCGGGCAAUCACCUUCAGCAUUGUUGCUCCUCAGAGCCGCCGAGGCUGCACCACUCCCCCGCCACGCCGCCGCCGCCGCCACAGAGGGUGCAACCGGCGGCGCCGCCUUCACGAUGCCUACUGCAGCCUCGGCCGUCCGCUCCGCAGCAACCGUUCAGGAGGCCGCUGUUCGUGGAGCCUGUGGGAGGGGAGGGCGGUAUGAGCUGUGGCAACAGCCUGCAGGAGAAGAGGGAGUACUGGAAGCUGAAGAAGAGACAGCAGAGAGCCCGCUCAAAAGCCAGGCAGAAGGGGGGGCCGGGUCACAGACAGAACAGCAGGCUCUCGUCCCAAAACAACGCACAGACUCUGAAUCCCCUCUCGGUCAACCACGCCCCGUCGGGGAAGAGCCCGACGAGUCCGCCGGCCAAACGCUGCCUGCAGCCCAAGGCCCCCACCGCCACUCUCACCGCGGUGCACAGCAUCCCCACGCUGCUGGUGGUCAGUCCCACCGCGUCCAACGACGGGCGCUCCCCCGACCUGCUCCAGGUCAAACCGCCGGUCUGCAGCUCCACCUCCUCGCCUGGCCGGGGCCGGCGCGAGGUCAACGCCCGGCCCUCCGGCACGUCCUGUGACCCCGACGCGUCGGAGUGCCACAAGGGCGCGACGGCGGACGGCGACGUCGACGUCCCCUCGUCCGACGGGGUGUCGGACGCCGAGCUGCGUCUGGCGGAGAAGCCGACGCCCGAGUCCAGAGUGAGGAGGUGGACCGUGCACGAGAAUAGCAACGCGGCGCCGGCUCUCGCUACUCUCACCCCCCCAGACAACCCGCUGUCCAGCAUCAACCUCUUCCCCAUCGAGCCCCUCGCUCCGACCUCGGGUCGCCACGCCUCUUACGGCAGCCCCGUGAGGCCCGCCCACACUCAGCCCCCCAAGCCCAAACCCGCGCAUGCCUCCCCGACCAAACUGGUGCCCUUAAGCACCCUGGCCCCCCCGAAACCCAUCCCGGGGGAGUCCCAGGAAGAGUUCCUGAGGCGGAAGAGGGAGUACUGGAGGGUCAAGAAGAAGGAGCAGAGAGCGAGGAAGGCCAUCCGGGACCGGGAGCUGUCCCAAAGGAGAGCGCCUGGCAACUGGAAGCCCAUUAGGCCCGCUAAGGACCAAGAGCGGCCCCAAUACACCGAGAACCAGGACCUGGGAGAUUGUGACCCUGCCUACGAGGACUCGGAACGUCUUAUGAGCUCGACCUCAGACGCUGAAAUGGGCUAUUAUUCGUACUCAAGCGACACUGUCCAGCUAGAAGACGGCGACCCCGACCACGGCUUCGCCGACCACGGCUGCGGCGGCGGCCUCCUGGACGCCGACCACGGCUGCGGCGGCGGCGGCGGCGGCGGCGAGGACCUGGGCUCCGUCUCGGACGGCGCGUGGCGGAGCCGCUACCUCAUGGACCACGACCCGCUGAACCAGCUGCUGGUGUGCAUGGUGUGCGGCGACCUGCUCUACUCCCACAGCCUGGAGGGCGUCCGGGCCCACAUCGAGGAGGCCCACCCGGACACCCUGAACCUGGAGCCGCCCGAGUGCCGGCGCAUCCUGGACGCCUGGGACGAGCAGGUGUCCCAGCGGGAGCGCUUCUUCACCAGCCAGCUGCAGCAGCACGGAGCCACUCUGGCAGAAGCGAACGGGAGCUAAAUUGGAAAAACCUCAAAGGGACAAGAAACAAAAGAUUACACACCAGAGAUGACCAUCAUGUUCCCUGUCAUCUACCGUUCUUCUUUUCUGUGAUUGCGAUGGCUUUUGUUGAUCACUCAUCUCAGUCAUCUUCAACCGACCAAUCUCCCAAUCCAUCGUCCCCUCACUCACAAACAAGACCCAGAGAUACUUGAACUCCUUCACUUGGGGUAAGGACUCAUUCCCCCCCCCCCCCCCCCCCCUUUGUUCAUGGGCUACUUUUAAUUGAAUGCUGUACAGGGAACACGCCUACAAGUUUGUUUAUAUUUUACCUAAUUUCUAACGGAAACACAGAGCACAAGUCUUAACAAGGUUUUUUGUAAUAUUGUAAUUAUUUGGAAAGAGUUGACAAAUUGCAGACUGUUUACUAUGUUAUUACUGCACAAAUAAACGGUUGAUACAGUAUGUAUACUCUUAACUAAAUUAUGCAUGUCAUUUUCUAGCUGCUUAAUGCAUUAGUGACCUUACACCACUGAUUGCCAGCUUUUUUAAAAUUUGUACCCAACCUUCUUAGACAGGUGUAGAUCUAGUUAGAACAUCAACUCCACUUCACCAUGCGAAAAAAAACAUGUCGACUGUAAACAUGAAACAAGACUUUUUUUUGUUACAAUCAAGUUAUAUGUAAGUAAUAUGCCAAAUCGUUUACUUGUACAAAUUGGGUUUCUUACAAUCCACCUUUCAAUGGAAAUGUAACCUUGUUUAUUUAUUGCAAGCUUCGUCAUACAGCUUGUUUAGUUAUUAUUGGUAUGCCUAGCUAGUUUUGUGUUGAUUCUCAUCUGUGGAUACUCCACUUUUUCUUGCAUGUGCUGUAAGUGGAUGCACAGCGGGUUCAAAAUGGGCUCUGCGAUGCGUUUACAAGGUGACCAAUUCAUUGGCUCUCUAAUGUUGUAUGUUCCAUUGAGCACAUAGUCUUUAACUCGUCAUUUUAUAUUUGAAUAAAACCAGAGGAAAAAAAAACCUGCACGACAAGUUUGGUAUCGGUAACAAAUCAAGCCAUUUGAGAAUGUAAUUUUGAAGCUAACUCGUAUGUUGUUUAAAAAAAGGAAUGCUUUUUUUUCUGAACAAAUAAAUAUUUUAUACCUUUUGGGUGGUUGUUCCUGUGAUUGAAUCUCACCC
rnacentral:lncRNA from 1 species